rnacentral:rRNA from 1 species
GAAACAUCUAAGUACCCCGAGGAAAAGAAAUCAACCGAGAUUCCCCCAGUAGCGGCGAGCGAACGGGGAGGAGCCCAGAGCCUGAAUCAGCAUGUGUGUUAGUGGAAGCGUCUGGAAAGGCGCGCGAUACAGGGUGACAGCCCCGUACACAAAAGUGCAUGUGCUGUGAGCUCGAUGAGUAGGGCGGGACACGUGGUAUCCUGUCUGAAUAUGGGGGGACCAUCCUCCAAGGCUAAAUACUCCUGACUGACCGAUAGUGAACCAGUACCGUGAGGGAAAGGCGAAAAGAACCCCGGCGAGGGGAGUGAAAAAGAACCUGAAACCGUGUACGUACAAGCAGUGGGAGCACCCUUUGGGGUGUGACUGCGUACCUUUUGUAUAAUGGGUCAGCGACUUAUAUUCUGUAGCAAGGUUAACCGAAUAGGGGAGCCGGAGGGAAACCGAGUCUUAAUUGGGCGUUAAGUUGCAGGGUAUAGACCCGAAACCCGGUGAUCUAGCCAUGGGCAGGUUGAAGGUUGGGUAACACUAACUGGAGGACCGAACCGACUAAUGUUGAAAAAUUAGCGGAUGACCUGUGGCUGGGGGUGAAAGGCCAAUCAAACCGGGAGAUAGCUGGUUCUCCCCGAAAGCUAUUUAGGUAGCGCCUCGUGAA